UACGGAGGGUGCAAGCGUUAUCCGGAAUCAUUGGGUUUAAAGGGUCCGCAGGCGGGAUUAUAAGUCAGUGGUGAAAGCCUACAGCUCAACUGUAGAACUGCCAUUGAUACUGUAAUUCUUGAAUUCGAUCGAAGUGGGCGGAAUAUGACAUGUAGCGGUGAAAUGCUUAGAUAUGUCAUAGAACACCGAUAGCGAAGGCAGCUCACUAGGUCUGGAUUGACGCUCAGGGACGAAAGCGUGGGGAGCAAACAGG
rnacentral:rRNA from 1 species